UCCGGCUUUCACCGGCUGUCCCCUUAGAGUGCCCACCCGAAGUGCUGGCAACUAAGGGCAGGGGUUGCGCUCGCUGCGGGACUGAACCCAACAUCUCACGACACGAGCUGACGACAACCAUGCAGCACCUGUGCACGGACUCCGAAGAGGAACCGAUGUUUCCACCGGCUUUCCCGUGCAUGUCAAGCCCAGGUAAGGUUCUUCGCGUUGCUUCGAAUUAAACCACAUGCUCCACCGCUUGUGCGGGCCCCCGUCAAUUCCUUUGAGUUUCAGCCUUGCGGCCGUACUCCCCAGGCGGAGUGCUUAACGCGUUGGCUGCGGCACCGCGGGGGUCAAUACCCACAGCACCUAGCACUCAUCGUUUACGGCGUGGACUA
rnacentral:misc_RNA from 1 species